GAGUUUGAUCUUGGCUCAGAUUGAACGCUGGCGGCAUGCCUUACACAUGCAAGUCGAACGGCAGCAUGAUCUAGCUUGCUAGAUUGAUGGCGAGUGGCGAACGGGUGAGUAAUACAUCGGAACGUGCCCUGUAGUGGGGAGUAACUAGUCGAAAGAUUAGCUAAUACCGCAUACGACCUGAGGGUGGAAAGUGGGGGACCGGCAAGGCCUCAUGGCUAUAGGAGCGGCCGGAUGUCUGAUUAGCUAGUUGGUGGGGU
rnacentral:rRNA from 1 species